GAUAGGACUGGAGUGAGGGUACUGUAAUAAUAAAGCGCACUGUGAUAGGACUGGAGUGAGGGUAAUGUAAUAAUAAAGUGCACUGUGAUAGGACUGGAGUGAGGGUACUGUAAUAAUAAAGCGCACUGUGAUAGGACUGGAGUGAGGGUACUGUAAUAAUAAAGCGCACUGUGAUAGGACUGGAGUGAGGGUACUGUAAUAAUAAAGCACACUGUGAUAGGACUGGAGUGAGGGUACUGUAAUAAUAAAGAGCACUGUGAUAGGACUGGAGUGAGGGUACUAUAAUAAUAAAGAGCACUGUGAUAGGACUGGAGUGAGGGUACUGUAAUAAUAAAGCACACUGUGAUAGGAGUGGAGUGAGGGUACUGUAAUAAUAAAGUGCACUGUGAUAGGACUGGAGUGAAGGUACUGUAAUAAUAAAGAGCACUGUGAUAGGACUGGAGUGAGGGUACUGUAAUAAUAAAGCGCACUGUGAUAGGACUGGAGUGAGGGUACUGUAAUAAUAAAGAGCACUGUGAUAGGACUGGAGUGAGGGUACUGUAAUAAUAAAGCGCACUGUGAUAGGACUGGAGUGAGGGUACUGUAAUAAUAAAGUGCACUGUGAUAGUACUGGAGUGAGGGUACUGUAAUAAUAAAGUGCACUGUGAUAGUACUGGAGUGAGGGUACUAUAAUAAUAAAGAGCACUGUGAUAGGACUGGAGUGAGGGUACUGUAAUAAUAAAGCACACUGUGAUAGGACUGGAGUGAGGGUACUGUAAUAAUAAAGUGCACUGUGAUAGUACUGGAGUGAGAGUACUGUAAUAAUAAAUCACACUGUGAUAGGACUGGAGUGAAGGUACUGUAAUAAUAAAGAGCGCUGUGAUAGGACUGGAGUGAGGGUACUGUAAUAAUAAAGCACACUGUGAUAGGACUGGAGUGAGGGUACUGUAAUAAUAAAGUGCACUGUGAUAGUACUGGAGUGAGGGUACUGUAAUAAUAAAGUGCACUGUGAUAGGACUGGAGUGAGGGUACUGUAAUAAUAAAGAGCGCUGUGAUAGGACUGGAGUGAGGGUACUGUAAUAAUAAAGCACACUGUGAUAGGACUGGAGUGAGGGUACUGUAAUAAUAAAGCACACUGUGAUAGGACUGGAGUGAGGGUACUGUAAUAAAGCGCACUGUGAUAGGACUGGAGUGAGGGUACUGUAAUAAUAAAGCACACUGUGAUAGGACUGGAGUGAGGGUACUGUAAUAAUAAAGUGCACUGUGAUAGGACUGGAGUGAGAGUACUGUAAUAAUAAAGUGCACUGUGAUAGGACUGGAGUGAGAGUA